ACGCUCGACACCUACGGGAGGCAGCAGUGGGGAAUAUUGCACAAUGGGGGAAACCCUGAUGCAGCGACGCCGCGUGAGUGAAGAAGUAUUUCGGUAUGUAAAGCUCUAUCAGCAGGGAAGAAGAUGACGGUACCUGAGUAAGAAGCCCCGGCUAACUACGUGUCAGCAGCCGCGGUAAUCUGAGCGGGCUGGCAAGGC
rnacentral:rRNA from 1 species